rnacentral:lncRNA from 1 species
AGGACCUGGGCUGACACACUGAUUAACAGGGGAACAGAUGAGGACUGGGUUCAGAGGCCUACUGUACAUUUGAGUACUCACUGCAGGUUACCACUGAGCCAUCGGACGAGGAUGCUGACCCAUAAUGAUCCUAAAAUCCUCUGGGUACUGAUCUACCUGUACCUGGUCAGAGCCGUUGCUGGGGCUGGCAGGAACCAAAUCUGCCUCUUGGAUACUGAGAACUAAGGCUUUGUAGAACAUCUUUUUCUCUUUUAAAUUGCAGGUGUCCUAGCUCACUUACUUAUGGUUUAUGAAACUAGCCAAUUCUACUUGAAGGCCAGCCUGAACGAGCAACAGCAAGCCGACUCAGAUGAUAGCAUCAGCUCAUCCAGCUCUUUGGUCAAAACCAUUGCUCUCAAUAUCACCAUUGCCCUUGCCAAUAAUCAUAAUAAGAGCUAACAUUUAUCGAGCACUUAAUUUGUGCCAGGCAGCCUGCCAAACACCAUGCAUGGAUUAUCUUAUUUGAUUCUCAUAACUACUCUGUAAGGUAGGCCCCAUUUUUUUCCCCAGAGAAGUUAAGUAUUUGCUGAAGGCCACAUGACUAAUAAACGGCAAAAUUUAAAAUCAGGUCAAUCUCAUUUCACAGCCUGUGCUCUUAACUACUAGAAUGAGCACAGCUGUCAGUGAUACAUCCGGGUGAGGACCUCAGACUUGACUCCCUCUGCCUGAUUGCUCGGUAUAGCAAGCCCAGGGGUGGCUGCUAGGAAUUCUGAACCAACGCAAAAUGGAGAAGCCACCCUUCUCGAUGUCAACAAGGAAGUCAAUGUCAAUGGAUUCUGAGAAGUGAUGUCCAACUCUGGAGUGAAAGUGGCCUCAGGAUCAAGAAUUAUUGUAGAACUAUCAAUGUCAGUCUGUCCAGUUACCAGUGGGAGAAAUUUCAAAACUCCAUGCCAGCUCUCCAUUCCCCGUGAGCACAUAACUCCAUGGUCGUGCAGAGCACAAGCCUACUGAACGCCCAGACUUUGAAAACAACUCCUACUCAGCUCUACACACUAUCACAGGACUCAGGAGGUAGAGAAGUUGCCUGGACAAAAUAAUCACAGCCUUUAAUUUUUCAAACACCCAAAAAUGGACUUCGGUGAAUCUGGUAACUGGCUCUUUAAGGAAAAUAAAAUGACAAUGAUGAUAUCUACGACAAUAAAACCCAAAUAAUAUAUUCCCUUUCCAAACACAAGUGUUUCAAAAUAAAAAACAGAUGAAAGUUUCUGAUAGGCCCCCAAAAAAUUACUCACUUUUCUUCAAGUCUUUAAUUACUAGUGAGAUUAUCUUUUCAUGUAUGAACCGGACAUUUAUAUAUCUUCUUUUCUAAAUUGCUAUUUUUGUUGUUUCCCCGCUUUCUAAUGGGAUAUUCAUUUGUUAUUUGUUUGUUAGAGCUCUUUUUAUAUUAUAUCUAAUAACCCUUUAUUAUAUGUGAUGGUGAUUUUUGUCCUCAGUUUGACAUUUAUCUUGACUAUGGUGUUCUUACUAUAUGUAAAUAUUUUUUAUUAUUAUGUAUUCACAUGUAUCAAUCUUUUAUAGCAUCUGCCUUUUAUGUCAUCUUUGGAAAAGCAUUCUUCAAUACAAGAUUAUAAAAAUACUCACCUAUAGUUCCUCAAGUAUUUUUAGGGUUGGUUUUUCUUUUUUUUUUUUAAUGUUUAAACCUUUAAAUUAUGUGGAAUUUAUUUUGCUUUAAGGCAUCGGAUAGGAUUAAACUUAAUUUUUCCCCUGACUAUCCAUUUGUUCCAGUAUCAUUUAUUGAAAAAUUCUUCUUUUUCCUCCACCUUCAUCUUAUACAUUCUCUAUGUGCCAAUGAAAAGGAAAAGGUUACUUAUUUUAAUUUUAUUGGGAAUGAAUACCAGCAUUCUGCUGUGUA